GUGAGGAAUAUUGGUCAAUGGGCGAGAGCCUGAACCAGCCAAGUAGCGUGCAGGAUGACGGCCCUAUGGGUUGUAAACUGCUUUUAUACAGGGAUAAAGUCGGGGACGUGUCCCCGUUUGUAGGUACUGUAUGAAUAAGGACCGGCUAAUUCCGUGCCAGCAGCCGCGGUAAUACGGAAGGUCCGGGCGUUAUCCGGAUUUAUUGGGUUUAAAGGGAGCGCAGGCGGGGAGGUAAGCGUGACGUGAAAUGUAGCCGCUCAACGGCUGAACUGCGUCGCGAACUGCCUCUCUUGAGUGAGUACGACGUCAGCGGAAUUUGUGGUGUAGCGGUGAAAUGCUUAGAUAUCACGAAGAACCCCGAUUGCGAAGGCAGCUGACGAGUCCUUUACUGACGCUAAAGCUCGAAGGUGCGGGUAUCGAACAGG
rnacentral:rRNA from 1 species